GUCUAUGGCCAUGCCACCCUGAACAUGCCCAAUCUCAUCUGAUCUCAGAAGCUAAGCAGGGUCGGGCCUGGUUAGUACUUGGAUGGGAGACCACCUAGAAAGACCAGGUGCUAUAGACA
rnacentral:rRNA from 1 species